CUCUAGCACAAUGGAUAGCGCGUUGGGCUUCUAAUCCAAAGGUCGUGGAUUCAAAUUCCACCUGGAAGG